rnacentral:lncRNA from 10 species
GCCAGGGCCUGGAGUCAGAAGCCUUAGGAAUCUACCUGGUUCUCUAUUCUACUGCUGCUGCACUGGCACCCAAGCUACAAGACAAGUUUCUUCCCACUCUUAUCUUCCCUUUUCACAAGCAGACAACUCUUUCCCAUGGCUACCAUUGCCCCAGGCUUGUGCUCCUGUUAUUCCAGUUGAAGAGAGACCAUAUGGCAUUCUGGAGAUGGCUGGAUGCAAGCAUUUAAAACCUUCGAGAGAAUACAGUGCACCAAGGAGACUAUUAUUAUGAUUAUUGGGAGGAUGAUACCAAGAGUUUGGAGUAUACUCUCUACCCAAGGUCCCCAUAAACCAAACCUCCUAAAACUAAAUAGAUCAAAGAAUGAGCUAGAUAAAGAGUUUACUCACUUGAGUAAGCAACUUCUUCAUCAGUCCCCUACCACUGAUUUUCUGUAAUCUUCAUUUGAUGUAUUUCCCCAUAGGCUACAAGUGCUAGCAGCUGCACAGGUACUUUUCUGUUUAGCUAAUUCUAUUAUUUAGCAUAAGUUUCACAAGAGAAUCUAAAGUUUGUUGUGUAACUGUAGCCUUUACAGUAGAAUUUGCUAUAGAACCUAUCAUGAGGGAUACAUUUCUAAUCAUUGCUUCUUUUACUUUAAACCAUGGAGAAAGGACCUAACAAAUGAUGCACUUUUAAAAUAGUGAAGGCCUUUUGGCAAUGUUCUCUUUAACCCAUGAUGUUGGUUAAGAGGAGUAAACCAAUGUUUUGUUUUUGACUGAUUAUGAAGCAACAUAUGCAGCAUUAAAG